UCCACGUUUCCGUGGCAGUCUCGUUAGAGUGCUCACCUGAAUGUAGCAACUAACGACAAGGGUUGCGCUCGUUAAAGGACUUAACCCAACAUCUCACGACACGAGCUGACGACAGCCAUGCAGCACCUGUGUAACCGCCUAUGAUUGCUCAUAGGACCCAGUGUUUCCACCAGUAGCAAUUACAUGUCAAGCCCAGGUAAGGUUCCUCGCGUAGUGUCGAAUUAAACCACAUGUUCCACCGCUUGUGCGGACCCCCGUCAAUUUCUUUGAGUUUUAAUCUUGCGACCGUACUUCCCAGGCGGAUCACUUAUCGCGUUAGCUACGACACCGAUAGUGCUAAGCACUACCAACGUCUAGUGAUCAUCGUUUACGGCGUGGACUAC
rnacentral:misc_RNA from 1 species